GAUGAAUGCUGGCGGCGUGCCUAACACAUGCAAGUCGAGCGGUAACAGGAGUAGUUUACUACUUGCUGACGAGCGGCGGACGGCUGAGUAACGCGUGGGAACGUGCCCCAAAGUGAGGAAUAACUGCCCGAAAGGGUAGCUAAUACCGCAUAUGAUCUUCGGAUUAAAGGAUUUAUCCGCUUUGGGAGCGGCCCGCGUCGGAUUAGGUAGUUGGUGAGGUAAUGGCUCACCAAGCCCACGAUCCGUAGCUGGUCUGAGAGGAUGAUCAGCCAGACUUGAACUGAGACACGGUCCAGAAUCCUACGGGAGGCAGCAGUGAGGAAUCUUCCACAAUGGGCGAAAGCCUGAUGGAGCAACGCCGCGUGCAGGAUGAAGGCCUUCGGGUCGUAAACUGCUUUUAUAAGUGAAGAAUAUGACGGUAGCCUAUGAAUAAGCACCGGCUAACUACGUGCCAGCCGCCGCAGUAACA
rnacentral:rRNA from 1 species